AAGCAAGGGAGAAAGGGGGUCUCAGAAUACUAAGAGUUUAGGAAUCUAGGAAUGGAGAAGAUUCUGGAAUUCCGGAGUGUUACUGAUCAGGGCCCAGAGGGAGGUGGGAAGAUAUGCAGGGCUUCACGGUUGCCAAGAGGAUGAAAGUCACAAGUGGGCGUGGCAGGGCUUUGUUCCUUCUGAAGCUCAGGACAAAGCACUGGGCUUCCCUCCUGCCUGGGAGCCUUCAGGACGGCAUGGAGUUUGGCCACGUGGUGGGAGCGCCCUGAGUGCGUGGCACAGAGUGUUCAACUGGUCACCUCUCCUGAGCCUCACAGCCUCUCAAGGAAGAUCUGAGGAGGAAACUGAGGCCCACCCCCACCCAGACUGAGGGGCAGGACUCACUGCAAG